rnacentral:rRNA from 1 species
UGAACGCUGGCGGUAGGCCUAACACAUGCAAGUCGAACGGCAGCACAGUAAGAGCUUGCUCUUACGGGUGGCGAGUGGCGGACGGGUGAGGAAUACAUCGGAAUCUACUUUUUCGUGGGGGAUAACGUAGGGAAACUUACGCUAAUACCGCAUACGACCUACGGGUGAAAGCAGGGGAUCUUCGGACCUUGCGCGAUUGAAUGAGCCGAUGUCGGAUUAGCUAGUUGGCGGGGUAAAGGCCCACCAAGGCGACGAUCCGUAGCUGGUCUGAGAGGAUGAUCAGCCACACUGGAACUGAGACACGGUCCAGACUCCUACGGGAGGCAGCAGUGGGGAAUAUUGGACAAUGGGCGCAAGCCUGAUCCAGCCAUACCGCGUGGGUGAAGAAGGCCUUCGGGUUGUAAAGCCCUUUUGUUGGGAAAGAAAAGCAGCAGGUUAAUACCCCGCUGUUCUGACGGUACCCAAAGAAUAAGCACCGGCUAACUUCGUG